ACGGGAGGCAGCAGUGGGGAAUAUUGCACAAUGGGGGAAACCCUGAUGCAGCGACGCCGCGUGGAGGAAGAAGGUCUUCGGGUUGUAAACUCCUGUCGUAAGGGACGAUAAUGACGGUACCUUACAAGAAAGCCACGGCUAACUACGUGCCAGCAGCCGCGGUAAAACGUAGGUGGCAAGCGUUGUCCGGAAUUACUGGGUGUAAAGGGAGCGCAGGCGGACUGACAAGUUGGAAGUGAAAUCUAUGGGCUCAACCCAUAAAUUGCUUUCAAAACUGUUGGUCUUGAGUAGUGCAGAGGUAGGCGGAAUUCCCGGUGUAGCGGUGGAAUGCGUAGAUAUCGGGAGGAACACCAGUGGCGAAGGCGGCCUGCUGGGCACCAACUGACGCUGAGGCUCGAAAGCAUGGGUAGCAAACAGGAUUAGAUACCCUGGUA
rnacentral:rRNA from 2 species